CAGCGGCGAUGGGGCUAGAAGCUUGGGCCGAAAAUCCGGCUAGGGUGUGCGUGAUGCUGUCCAGGCGGCGGAAUAACUCCUGUUGAGCAGCGGACAUUUGUGAGAGGGCAUCAGACUGACGACUGAGCAACAUACCUUGUUGAGCGAUGGCAAGGCGGAGUCCCUCCGGGUCAGCUGAGUCGGAGGAAUGGCUAGUUCGUUCUGUCAUGAUUAGCAAGCGUGGUCGACUCAGGUGCUGGAACCCGGAAGGAGGCUCGGCAGGCAGUGAGAUUGUCCAAGGAGUGGUUGGAGGGUAUUGUUGGCAGCAACCGCGUGAUCCGAGACUGGGGUUGGAGAACGUCCGAGCGAGACGGCGAGAGGUGACCCGUGAUCAGGUAUG